UUUAUGGAGAGUUUGAUCCUGGCUCAGGAUGAACGCUGGCGGCGUGCCUAAUACAUGCAAGUCGAGCGAACGGACGAGAAGCUUGCUUCUCUGAUGUUAGCGGCGGACGGGUGAGUAACACGUGGAUAACCUACCUAUAAGACUGGGAUAACUUCGGGAAACCGGAGCUAAUACCGGAUGAUAUUUUGAACCGCAUGGUUCAAAAGUGAAAGACGGUCUUGCUGUCACUUAUAGAUGGAUCCGCGCUGCAUUAGCUAGUUGGUAAGGUAACGGCUUACCAAGGCAACGAUGCAUAGCCGACCUGAGAGGGUGAUCGGCCACACUGGAACUGAGACACGGUCCAGACUCCUACGGGAGGCAGCAGUAGGGAAUCUUCCGCAAUGGGCGAAAGCCUGACGGAGCAACGCCGCGUG
rnacentral:rRNA from 1 species